rnacentral:rRNA from 1 species
UACGGAGGGUGCAAGCGUUAUCCGGAUUCACUGGGUUUAAAGGGUGCGUAGGUGGGUUGGUAAGUCAGUGGUGAAAUCUCCGAGCUUAACUUGGAAACUGCCAUUGAUACUAUCAGUCUUGAAUAUUGUGGAGGUCAGCGGAAUAUGUCAUGUAGCGGUGAAAUGCUUAGAUAUGACAUAGAACACCCAUUGCGAAGGCAGCUCGCUACACUAUCAUUGACACUGAGGCACGAAAGCGUGGGGAUCAAACAGG